rnacentral:rRNA from 1 species
GAUGAACGCUGGCGGCGUGCCUAAUACAUGCAAGUCGAGCGAACAGACGAGGAGCUUGCUCCUUCGACGUUAGCGGCGGACGGGUGAGUAACACGUAGGUAACCUACCUAUAAGACUGGGAUAACUUCGGGAAACCGGAGCUAAUACCGGAUAAUAUUUCGAACCGCAUGGUUCGAUAGUGAAAGAUGGCUUUGCUAUCACUUAUAGAUGGACCUGCGCCGUAUUAGCUAGUUGGUAAGGUAACGGCUUACCAAGGCAACGAUACGUAGCCGACCUGAGAGGGUGAUCGGCCACACUGGAACUGAGACACGGUCCAGACUCCUACGGGAGGCAGCAGUAGGGAAUCUUCCGCAAUGGGCGAAAGCCUGACGGAGCAACGCCGCGUGAGUGAUGAAGGUCUUCGGAUCGUAAAACUCUGUUAUUGGGGAAGAACAAACGUGUAAGUAACUGUGCACGUCUUGACGGUACCUAAUCAGAAAGCCACGGCUAACUACGUG